rnacentral:rRNA from 1 species
UGGGGAAUAUUGGACAAUGGGGGAAACCCUGAUCCAGCAAUGCCGCGUGAGUGAAGAAGGCCUUAGGGUUGUAAAGCUCUUUCGCCCGCGAAGAUAAUGACGGUAGCGGGAGAAGAAGCCCCGGCUAACUCCGUGCCAGCAGCCGCGGUAAUACGGAGGGGGCUAGCGUUGUUCGGAAUUACUGGGCGUAAAGCGUACGUAGGCGGAUGCGCAAGUUGGGGGUGAAAUCCCGGGGCUUAACCUCGGAAUUGCCCUCAAAACUGCACGUCUUGAGACCGAGAGAGGUCAGGGGAAUUCCUAGUGUAGAGGUGAAAUUCGUAGAUAUUAGGAGGAACACCAGUGGCGAAGGCGCCUUACUGGCUCGGUACUGACGCUGAGGUACGAAAGCGUGGGGAGCAAACA